AACCCAUGAUAAGAAAAACUUCUCAAAAGAUCUUUAAAUCUCUCCCAUGCAUCAUAUAAUGUCUCCAUAUCAAUUGAACAAAGGAAGAGAUGUUGUUUCUUAACUU
rfam:Gossypium raimondii Chr06_contig_813, whole genome shotgun sequence.